AUGUCUUCAGCGAAGCACAUAUUUACAGUUUUUAAACGAUCCAACACUGAUAUCGCGAUAUUCGGGCGUAACUUUUUGCUCGGAUGAAUGUGGCAGGCUCAAGGACGUCGGCGUCUCGCCGUCAGCGAGUGCGCAGCGCGGAGCAAUACAGCAUUGUCACCUGAGCCGCUAACUGGAAGCCCGCGAAAUUCUUUCCUCGUAGACGCAUGAGAUGCUCCGUGAAGUUUUAAGUGUUUAGAAGUGCAUCUAGUGUUUGGUCUUUGGCCGACUGUACGCAAAGCAAAGGUGAGUUUAAACUCUGCUUCGUUGUUCCAAGUCAAAUAAGCACCACUUGUAUGCAUGGUUGAAAAAAUUGUUUCGUUGCAGACGCGUUUCAGCAACGGUGUGCAACAGCAGGAGAGCAGUGUCUGUGUGUGUCACUGUGUGUGGAUCAUGAGUAGAAACGUAAAGAGUUGCCUAACCUUUAGUUAUUCAGGGGGAGGCUACUGAAAUAAUUUGUGUUUUGCUGUGAUCUCGCACUAAAAAUUGAUAAAUGUUGUGACUCUAUUUUCUCCCUUGGAGCUGGAGUAAAGAGAAUUACUCUCUUGUGGAAGGUUCACCUGAAGGUGUCCCAAUCUCCAAAGUGGAUAUCAUUCCGAUAUGGCCUGUUAUACUUUCCAUUGAAAUCUGUUGCAUUUGCACUAUAGGAAGGCCUCCUGUCUGCAAAAUUGCAAUCCUCUACAGUUUACAAUUCAUGAAAGAGGUCACAUUUCACAGUCUUUCCAGACAAAUGUACCUUUACUAGUCAAAGCGGCGUCAAAAUUUUCACCAGUAACAGUUUCCUGCUCGCACAGCUGAAGGCUGUACAUAAAUGGAUCCCUUUUUUGCACUCUCUUGGUAGGUGAUAUACGGGUGCACUUUGUUCCUGCAGAAAUUUUCAUCUCGUCGAGCUCUUUUCGGCCAUUUGCUAUCACAUGAAGAUUUUGCAAGUGGUGUUCCUUGCACCAUAGAGGGACCUAAUGCUGCUUCUAAGAACUAUAGAACCAAUUCCUCCAGGUGUCAUCCUGACGAAAUGCCAACACAUUCAACACAAAAAGUAUUGUCUCAAAAGUUUUGCUCUCUGACUUCUUGCAGCCAGCAGUGUGGACAGUGAGGAAGCACAUAUUGCACGCUGAAAACAUCACCUCAUUACAGAUGCAUCGUGCACUGUGAGUUGACAGUCCCUUCUUGUGUGCUUCGACAGUCACUAUUCAUGGGACUCAACAUACAACAGGACACUAUCUUGUGGUCUCCAGAGACGAGUACAACCUGUGCUAUGGGAAACUGGUACACAUCUUUGUGGAAACUGGCCCGGAGGCGUUUCUGAAGAUCAGGAGUAGAGAUCACAAAACGAAAAACUUGGUGUCAGUAACAUGUCUUGAGGAGCUAAUCAGAGUUGCUGUGGGUCAUCGAAUUUGUCAGGAAGGCGACAUACAGGUGUAUUUAGUGGAUGAGUUAUCACUUCGCUGUAUGGUUGCUGGUGCUGAGAAAUGCCUCGAUGACAUUUUCAUUGUUAAAAAUGGACUAUGGAAACAAGAUCAGUCAACAUGUGUGAGUGCACCUUCACCAAUCCCACAAAUGCCUCUGCUCUCACGAAUUUAUUACCCUUGGGAGAGCCUCAGCAAGACAGUACUUGAUGCAUUGGAAGCAGACAAUGUUCUGCUUCCCUCUCAACGACAGGAAGUGGCACAUAUGGCAGCGUCAUGGCCCUGCAUAUCCAUUGAAGGUGGGAGGCACUCCUGAUAUUUAUUCACAGGCACCUGGUUGGUAUCAUUGAGAACGAAGGGAGCCAGCAGGCAUAAAAAAAUCAAGAGGGUUACAUACAUAAAUGCGUGAGGCAGUGAGGGCAGCAGAUGAACAUAGCAAGAAGUGGGAACAUCUCAUGUGAUACAUAGCGGUCAAAUGUUCCGCCACCAAAGUCAUGCACAAGUUAUUUGUAGUCUUUCCAGUAAUUUCCAAAAUAAAGGGUUAUUAUUGAAAAGCUAUCCUCUCUGGACACACAAAACAUGAGAAUUGAACAAUUAACAAUGAAACAAAA